CUCAGCUGAUAGACACGCUACAGGAGAGAUUAGAACAACUACAUGCAGCAGCGGGAGGAUGAAUGAGCUCGUGACGCAAUGACGCUGACGUGGGUGCUUCCUCUCAGGGUUGUCAUCAGAUAGCUCAAGGUCCUUGCCCGGAGAAAAUAAAUAUUUUUAUUAUUACCAUCAUAUUCAGAGAUCCACAAUCUUCAAGACUCAGUUGUUCUGAGGGACCUUUUCCAAUUGCUCGGGUUCAUGGUACGUGGCCUGGAUGGUGGGAAUUUAUACAAAGAACGCUGCACUGCAAACCAGAGAGAUUCAAAAAUAAAACAGACAUGAAAACUUA